UACGUAGGGGGCAAGCGUUGUCCGGAAUCAUUGGGCGUAAAGCGCGCGUAGGCGGCCAGAUAAGUCCGGUGUGAAAGUCAAAGGCUCAACCUUUGAAUGCCGCUGGAAACUGUCUGGCUAGAGUCCGGGAGGGGCGAGUGGAAUUCCUGGUGUAGCGGUGAAAUGCGUAGAUAUUCGGAAGAACACCAGUGGCGAAGGCGGCUCACUGGCCCGGUACUGACGCUGAGGUGCGAAAGCGUGGGGAGCAAACAGG
rnacentral:rRNA from 1 species